GAACUCACAACCUCUCGGUUGGAAGUGGGGGUUGCUUACCAUCAGAGCAACCGCUCUUGUCGUAGAUGUUCCUGACAAUGUAUUGGAAUUCAUGGACAAUUCUACGGGAAGAAAUUUAACUCACUUUUGUGGUGACUUCCCAUUUUCGUGGUGCUGCACUGUUAGUAAAAUCUACCUUGUAAAAAAAUGUAUUUUUUGAGAGGACUAGCAG
rnacentral:lncRNA from 1 species